UAGCCAUUCUAAAUAAAGACUGAUAGAGACAGUUUAAAUAAAGGAAAAGUCCAAAUUCUACUUUUUAACUCUAUUUUUAUUUCUAUGCAAUCAUUUCAUAUGUUAAUAAAAUACUCUAUCAGGAAGACUUUGGUAAACAACUUUAUUAAAUAAUUAAAAUGAUUUGUAAGUAGUAUAGCAAAUUAAACAGCAUUCUAAAGAACUUGAAAAUCAUUUUUGCACUAGAUAAAAUGUUAGGCUUAUUUUAUACUACUAAAUUAGUCACAUUUGAAAAAUAAUGUAAACAUGAACUUUAGCUUAGCUUUGGAUAAUUACAACUUAAUGACGUACAGAAUUGCAAACAAAUGAAAUCUUAUAGUAUUUAACUGGCUAUUUUUAUGUGGUUAUUCAUUCUAUAUGCUGAUAUAUUAUUGUGUAUUU
rnacentral:lncRNA from 1 species